rnacentral:tRNA from 1 species
GAGGUUAUAACUCAGUGGUAUAGUGUUUGCCUAGUAUGCACAAGACCCUGGGUUUGAUUCCCAGCACCUCA